GUGGGGAAUCUUGCGCAAUGGGCGAAAGCCUGACGCAGCCAUGCCGCGUGAAUGAUGAAGGUCUUAGGAUUGUAAAAUUCUUUCACCGGGGACGAUAAUGACGGUACCCGGAGAAGAAGCUCCGGCUAACUUCGUGCCAGCAGCCGCGGUAAUACGAAGGGGGCUAGCGUUGCUCGGAAUUACUGGGCGUAAAGGGCGCGUAGGCGGACAGCUUAGUCAGAGGUGAAAGCCCAGGGCUCAACCUUGGAAUUGCCUUUGAUACUGGCUGUCUUGAGUUUGGGAGAGGUGAGUGGAACUCCGAGUGUAGAGGUGAAAUUCGUAGAUAUUCGGAAGAACACCAGUGGCGAAGGCGACUCACUGGCCCAAUACUGACGCUGAGGCGCGAAAGCGUGGGGAGCAAACAGGAUUAGAAACCCGUUGUAGUCC
rnacentral:rRNA from 1 species